AUGUGAAUACUUGUUUUGCACAGGUACGAUUCCCCUCACACUUCAGUUCAGACCUGAAGGAUGUUCUGCGCAAUCUGCUGCAAGUGGACCUCACAAAGCGCUUUGGCAAUUUGAAAAUGGAGUCAGUGACAUCAAAAACCACAGAUGGUUUGCUACGACAGACUGGAUCGCAAUCUAUGAGAAGAAGGUCGAUGCUCCGAUCAUACCAAAGUGCAGAGGGCCUGGAGACACAAGUAACUUUGAUGAAUAUGAUGAGGAAAACAUACGGGUAUCUGUCACAGAGAAAUGUACAAAAGAGUUCUUGGAGUUCUAGGGUACCUGCAUGUAAAAGCUUUAUUAGGAGCCUUUAAAAAGGUUUGUUUUUCCUCUUCUUCUUUUUUUUUAAUUAGACAUAAAAGUUUUACUUUAUUAUGUUAAAUUAUACAUUGAAUAAAGCCUAUUUUAAAUUUUUAGCAGUUUUUUUUUUUUUUUUUGGGGGGGGGGGGGGGGACUAAAUGAAACUCUGCUGCAUUUUCCCCCUGUCUUUUACACAUUAAAGAAAAGUAGGCUAUAUGUUCAGUAUUAAUAUAUGAAAAAGCUCAAUUCUCUUUUCCGCCGCCUGUGUGUGUGUGUUGUGUGUGUGUGUGCCGUGAUAACUGUAAAAUAUGUGUAUAUGCUGAAGAAAGCCUGUCUGUGGCUGUUAAGAAAUGUGAAAAGGUAAAGAAAGAUUAAUGUAAAAUUGUUUUGUUUGUAUGUUUUUUGUUUUUUUUCCUCCAGCUUUGGAAAACAGAUCCCCAAAUAAAAGUAUAAAGUAUAAAGCUCAAUCAUACAGUAUAUUAUCCUGAUAUUUCAUGUGAAGUUUUUUUUUUUUUUUUUUUUUUUACUAUUAUUUUUAUAUCUGCUGUACAAUUUUGUGACCGAUUAUUUUGACACUGAAUAAAAUACAAUUAUUUGCAUUGCCUUGUAUAUCCAAUA